GCAAACACCACACACAGGCACACCACACGGUUACUCAGCAUCGCCCGGUCCACUCUGCCAUCAUCCCCUUCGCAAGCCACCUUCAGCUCCGAGAAAACAGACUAUCCGGCCUGAUCUAACUCUCCUUCCUGACCUGGGGGAGUGCAGUGACCAAGCCAAGCGCACCCCGACUUAUCCUCCCCUGUGUGUCCCAGCUUCAUUCCAGGUUGCCUCCCAGGAGAUUCCUAGGAGAGCCCCGAGGAAAGAAAGGCGCCCCAAGGCGCGGGUGGCCCCGCCUCCGCUCCCUGCUCCUCUCCCCAGCCCUCGAAGGGCCCACGCGCAGGGUGCGAGCCAACCUACCAUUCAGUUUGCUGUGGGAUCGAGAGGGGCAGAGCAGAACCGACUGGACCAGCCGCAGCCACAUGAGGCCUUCGGAGGAGCCAUUUGCCGCUGAGAGAACUAUCUGAGACCAAGCUUCCAAAACUUGAGCCAAGUUGGGACACAAACCUAUGCUGUGAACCAGUAGGACAUUGCCCUCAUACACCUACACAGCAUGGGCCAGCACUUACCCGGAAGAUAUAAGCCUACAAGAAGGGACGUAUGUCUGCUCAUUACCAUAAUCCAACACUGUCCCUCAGAGGCUUUAAUUAAAAGCAGCAAGCAGAGCUAACAGAACCUCAAACUUCGGGCAGCCUCUUCCCGCAUUCAUUCUCUUGUAUGCCCGCCCUCAUUGGCAAGUGUUGAGCCAUAUCUGCCAAACAGCAAAAAUAAGGAAAAGAUCCCCAAAGUAGAAACUUUAGUAUACUGUACCAUCUAUCCUUGGACAUUUUUACCUCUCACCAAUCAGCCUUCCCGAUUUCCAAUCACAAAUUAAAAUUCACUAAAAAAAUAAACCAGGACCGCUCGUCUUUUCAAAGGAAUCCUCCUAUUCCCUUUUCAGUUUCCUCUAGAUCAGCGUUUUAUGCCCUGAUUUCUGUCUUCCCUUAAAAGUCUUCACACAAGCGUUUCAUUGUGCCGGGAGGUCGCCCAUCACUUCAGCCGACAGAGGGACGCAGUCAUUAAAAUGCAGUUCUACCUAACAAUACGGUGAAAAGGUCCUCGCUGGCCGCGCUCUCAGCGGUCCGAGGCGCCGGCGGCCUCCAGGAGCCUCCAGCCGCGGUCACAAUACCCGCCGGGGCGGGA